rnacentral:rRNA from 1 species
UGGGGAAUUUUGGACAAUGGGCGAAAGCCUGAUCCAGCAAUGCCGCGUGUGUGAAGAAGGCCUUCGGGUUGUAAAGCACUUUUGUCCGGAAAGAAAUCCUUGGCUCUAAUACAGUCGGGGGAUGACGGUACCGGAAGAAUAAGCACCGGCUAACUACGUGCCAGCAGCCGCGGUAAUACGUAGGGUGCAAGCGUUAAUCGGAAUUACUGGGCGUAAAGCGUGCGCAGGCGGUUUGCUAAGACCGAUGUGAAAUCCCCGGGCUCAACCUGGGAACUGCAUUGGUGACUGGCAGGCUAGAGUAUGGCAGAGGGGGGUAGAAUUCCAGUGUAGCAGUGAAAUGCGUAGAGAUGUGGAGGAAUACCGAUGGCGAAGGCAGCCCCCUGGGCAAUACUGACGCUCAUGCACGAAAGCGUGGGGAGCAAACAGGAUUAGAUACCCUGGUAGUCCACGCCCUAAACGAUGUCAACUAGUUGUUGGGGAUUCAUUUUCUUAGUAACGUAGCUAACGCGUGAAGUUGACCGCCUGGGGAGUACGGUCGCAAGAUU